rnacentral:rRNA from 1 species
GGACAACAUUUCGAAAGGAAUGCUAAUAGCGCAUACGUCCUACGGGAGAAAGCAGGGGACCUUCGGGCCUUGCGCUAAUAGAUGAGCCUAAGUCGGAUUAGCUAGUUGGUGGGGUAAAGGCCUACCAAGGCGACGAUCUGUAGCGGGUCUGAGAGGAUGAUCCGCCACACUGGGACUGAGACACGGCCCAGACUCCUACGGGAGGCAGCAGUGGGGAAUAUUGGACAAUGGGGGGAACCCUGAUCCAGCCAUGCCGCGUGUGUGAAGAAGGCCUUUUGGUUGUAAAGCACUUUAAGCGAGGAGGAGGCUACUUAGAUUAAUACUCUGAGAUAGUGGACGUUACUCGCAGAAUAAGCACCGGCUAACUCUGUGCCAGCAGCCGCGGUAAUACAGAGGGUGCGGGCGUUAAUCGGAUUUACUGGGCGUAAAGCGUGCGUAGGCGGCUUUUUAAGUCGGAUGUGAGAUCCCUGAGCUUAACUUAGGAAUCGCAUUCGAUACUGGGAAGCUAGAGUAUGGGAGAGGAUGGUAGAAUUCCAGGUGUAGCGGUGAAAUGCGUAGAGAUCUGGAGGAAUACCGAUGGCGAAGGCAGCCAUCUGGCCUAAUACUGACGCUGAGGUACGAAAGCAUGGGGAGCAAACAGGAUUAGAUACCUGGUAGUCCAUGC